GGGAAUGUGACUUAGUGGUAGAGUGCUUGCCUUGCAUGCAUGAAGCCCUGGAUCUGAUUCCACAGUACCA
rnacentral:tRNA from 1 species